rnacentral:rRNA from 1 species
AUUGAACGCUGGCGGCAGGCCUAACACAUGCAAGUCGAGCGAGCGGCGGACGGGUGAGUAAUGUAUGGGGACUGCCCGAUAGAGGGGGAUAACUACUGGCAACGGUAGCUAAUACCGCAUACAAUCGGAUAGCCCAGAUGGGAUUAGCUAGUAGGUGAGGUAAUUGCUCACCUAGGCGACGAUCCCUAGAGGGUCUGAGAGGAUGACCAGCCACACUUGAACUGAGCAACGUCCCAGACUCCUACGGAGGCAGCAGUGGGGCAUAUUGUGCAAUGGGCGCAAGCCUGAUGCAUCCAGGCCGCGUGUAUGAAGCAGGCCCUCGGGUUGUAAAGUACUGUCAGUCAGGAGGCGUUACCGGCAGAAGAAGCACCGGCUAACUCCGUGCCAGCAGCCGCGGUAAUAC